GAUGAACGCUGGCGGCGUGCCUAAUACAUGCAAGUCGAGCGAACGGACGAGAAGCUUGCUUCUCUGAUGUUAGCGGCGGACGGGUGAGUAACACGUGGAUAACCUACCUAUAAGACUGGGAUAACUUCGGGAAACCGGAGCUAAUACCGGAUAAUAUUUUUAACCGCAUGGUUCAAAAGUGAAAGACGGUCUUGCUGUCACUUAUAGAUGUAUCCGCGCUGCAUUAGCUAGUUGGUAAGGUAACGGCUUACCAAGGCAACGAUGCAUAGCCGACCUGAGAGGGGGAUCGGCCACACUGGAACUGAGAAACGGUCAAGACUCCUACGGGAGGCAGCGGUAGGGAAUCUUCCGAAAUGGGCGAAAGCCUGACGGAGAAACGCGGGGUGAGUGAUGAAGGUCUUCGGAUCGUAAAACUCGGUUAUUAGGGAAGAACAUAUGGGUAAGGAACUGUGCACAAAGUGACGGUACCUAAUCAGAAAGCCACGGCUAACUACGUG
rnacentral:rRNA from 1 species